UACGUAGGGUGCGAGCGUUAAUCGGAAUUACUGGGCGUAAAGCGUGCGCAGGCGGUUUUGUAAGCCAGAUGUGAAAUCCCCGGGCUCAACCUGGGAAUGGCAUUUGGGACUGCAAGGCUGGAGUUUGGCAGAGGAGACUGGAAUUCCUGGUGUAGCAGUGAAAUGCGUAGAUAUCAGGAGGAAUACCGAUGGCGAAGGCAGGUCUCUGGGCUGACACUGACGCUCAUGCACGAAAGCGUGGGGAGCAAACAGG
rnacentral:rRNA from 1 species